AUGUACAUAAAGAGAAGACAGACAUGCAUAUCACUGUAAUAAGUGAUAAGGAACAACGUAGCAUCAGCGUUCCAAAAUGAAGGUUGUUUGCAUUUUCCUCACUAUGUCAACAGUUGUAUUCGCAGGAAAAUACCAGAAAAGACUUAUUGAUCCAGUGAAAAAUGGAUACGAAACCCGGUGCGCGGAAAUCCUAGCUUUGAAUGAAAACCACUGCGGUAUAGCUGGGUUAUGGACAAAUCAAUUGAAAUCUGUCAUGGAAUUCACGUGUAAAGAUGGUCAUCUCAAUGGUCGUUACAAUACAGCAGUUGGAGUAGCAGAUGAUUACUACAACUUAACCGGAAAGUACACAAUGUCUGGUCCAAAUGGCGCUGACUGUGUUAUGGGAUGGGUUGUUACAUACAACAACAAGGUUUUGGGAAAUUCCAACUCAACGUGUGCUUGGUCGGGCAUACAUUAUGCACAUGAGCAUGUAAUUCGGACCCACUGGGUACUUACCCAUUGGCAUCCAUUGGCAGACACUUGGCGGACAACAACUAUCAACCAUGAUGACUUUGUCAGCUUGUGUUAAUACGGUAUAUAUAUAAAGGACAGACACAACCAGAAAACCAGACAGUUACAAACAUAUUAUCAAUGAAAAAAGAAGGAAAACAGUUUGCAUUGAUUUUGUAUUGUAAAAAUAAACAAUAAAAGUUUUAUUUCA
rnacentral:lncRNA from 1 species